GGAUUCCCSGAGUAGCGGCGAGCGAAACGGGAAGAGCCCAGCGCUGAAUCCUGCCGCCCUGGCGGGCGGCCGGGAAAUGUAGCGUUCGGUAGGAGAGUUAUAAUCAUAAACGCGCGGUCAGUAGUCACGGCUGCCGGUCCAAGUUCAUCUUGAACGGGGCCGCUUACCCGCAGAGGGUGCCAGGCCCGUGGCGACGGUAGCCGGCCGCGACGGUCUCCCUACCAAGAGUCGGGUUGCUUGAGAGUGCAGCCCUAAGCGGGUGGUAAACUCCAUCUAAGGCUAAAUACCACCACGGGACCGAUAGCGAA
rnacentral:rRNA from 2 species